UACGUAGGGACCGAGCGUUGUCCGGAAUCAUUGGGCGUAAAGAGCGUGUAGGCGGCUAUUUAAGUCCUGCGUGAAAUCCUGCGGCUCAACCGCAGACGGUCGUGGGAAACUGGAUGGCUAGAGUGCGGGAGAGGAGAGUGGAAUUCCCGGUGUAGCGGUGAAAUGCGCAGAUAUCAGGAAGAACACCCGUGGCGAAGGCGGCUCUCUAGUACGGUACUGACGCUGAGACGCGAAAGCGUGGGGAGCGAACAGG
rnacentral:rRNA from 1 species